AUACUGUGGUGUAUAUGGUAUAUAUAUGGUAUAUAUAGCUCUCAGGGAUCAGGCUGUGUUAUUUGAAACAAUUCACUUCUUAUUCCCCUCUCCUUCUGCUUCCCAUUGCCAUGGAGCUUGGCCACCACCCCUCAUCCACAGCAGGAAGGCAUAACCUGAAUGCUUGAGCUGAUCGAGCAACCUGCUGUCCUCCCACCGUGCACUGCACUCUGGAGCCUGUUAGAUCCAUUCAUUGGCAAAGCAAAGCCCAGAAACUGGCCAAAAAAGGUUGAUUUUUCCUCUUCUCCUCCUUCUUCAUGAGCUGAGCUGGCCUGCAGAGACCCUGAUGAACACUGAAGCUAGUGUGGGGUAAGCAGGGUGGCUGGAAAUAGGGAAAAGAGGCAAGUAAGGGGUAUGUGUGUGGGGUUUUGUGUGUGUAUGAGGAUUACAGUCUCCCCCUUUUGACAGCUUCAAGCUGUGUGAAUGUUUCAGCUGCAUGGUGUAGCUUUACUCCAGGCUUACUCCUCUCCUUCACAAUGGCUUCUAGAAGCAACCGAGAGCAUUGAACAGAAGGCAGGGAGUCUAGCCUGUGCUAAACAAGUGUGGAGGGGAAAUCUUGUGUUUUUCUGGUCAGACUGGAAAGUUCCUGAUUUGAGUAGUUUCAGUCUUGGUCAUCACUGCCUAUUUAGACAGGUUUGGGGCAGCGUGGCCAUGCAUGACUGAGCAAGCCUGCUCAUCACAUAGAGCAACUGAGUGGAAGAACUGAGUCCUUAGACCAGACAGAGCAUUUCUCUGGUUGUCUUGAACCUGAAAUGGAGCUGGCUGCUAUCCUAGAAAUAUCUGAGAGUGCUGCAGACUGCCAUCGUUUGCUGCCACACGAGACUGAUAAUAACAGCUUUUAGUGGGAGUAUCUUUCCAGCUGACCAGAACUACAGGGCAGCAUUAGCAAUGGCCAAGGUUUAAGAGGCCAGUGGUCUGCUGGGUUUAGGGGUUCUUCCUGGGCUGUUCAGCAGAGCAUCUGCUAUGGUCUGAAAUAGCCAGAUGUGAUUGCAAAGGUGUUUGUAUACUCUCUGUAGCGUACAUACUCCUAUAGCUGCCUUUCCAUGUUAUCUGGCUGCCUGCAUGGAGUGGGUGGGCUGUUCUGUAACUGUUUUAUUGGUUGGUGGAAUGUCGUCAUCUGUGGGCAUUGCCCAACAUCUGCUGAGUUGAAGACAACUUAUACGUGGUCCUUAUACCCUAUCCUAUGUAUUAGUAUCAAGGUCAGGUCUUGCCCCAAUAGACCCUUCUGACCAUCUUCCACAUUUAUUUCUGUCUCUGUCCAGUUUCAUUGCUCCACAAACAGCACAUGUAGGAACAGAUCCAGCUUCAACCUGCAUUUAAAUGUUUUCACCCUGCUGCCAAGGGGCUGGAUGUGGCUUAGGAGGAAACUACACCCAGCAGGAAAGGACUGUGUUUCCAGGAACCAGCAGUUCUGCAUAACACAAGCGUUUGCAUCUGUGCUAUGGAAACAUUCAUCAGAGGAGCUGUGAUGAUUUUUGCACACUCUAGUUGUCCUCUCCAGCUGUCCUGUGAGGAAGCUAAGCAUUACUGUCCCUAAAUUGGCUGGUGUUGGGGUCUAUGCUCUGUGUAAAGCAGCUAAGCUGUAAACAAGGGAGCUUGCUCCAUUGUCUAUAAUAGGAUCUUAUCCAAGGGAAAACAGAGAUUGUCUUCAACAAUUUGAAGCUUGUGUAGGCAGACAAUACGCUGACUCUUGCCUGUGGGCAGCAUGAAGGAUGCCUCUACUUCAGACCAAGCAGCUGAGAGCCAACAUGAAUUCAAAGCAACACUGUAUGUGCAGCUGAGAGGAUGGAUCAGUCCCUGGGCAGCUGUGAUGUUGUGAAAGUGUACUGAAAGAAGAAUUUGGAUUACCAGGCUCUUUCUCCUAUCUUUAAUCUAUUGGAUUUGAAUGCGAGAGGCCAGGAUCUCCCCUCUAACUCCAAUAGUUUAAUAAGUAUUAAUAGUUUAAUAAGUCAGGCAUGCAAUUAACUAUUACCUACUGAAAAUAAUAGGAUAGUAGUGUGUGAAGUGUUGUAAGGUGCAACAAAUGAGCUUGCAACUAAUGUGAAUGUCCUUUGAUGGGAUGUCUGGCCUGAGUGUGGUAAUGCUGUUAGCAGCCUUUUUCCCCAAGAACGCUUAUAAAGGCAUGAAAAGCACAAGAUAAAAGGUGGCUUAAACCAAACCAUAAGAAACCAGCAUGAAAUAAAGUUAAAAUUAAAACACGAUGUGAUAAUAGUUUUUGAGAGAGUGAGUUGCACAGUUGACAGAAAAGGUCUGAGUAUAGCUGAACCUAACCUCUUGUAAGAACGGAGCACUGAGAACUCUUCACCUUGGUCACAAAGAUACCAUGACACAAGGCUGCACAACCCGGAGUUUCCUCUUCUGGCCACAUAAAUCUGCUGUCAU